rnacentral:rRNA from 1 species
GACGAACGCUGGCGGCGUGCUUAACACAUGCAAGUCGAACGGAAAGGCCCUGCUUGCAGGGUACUCGAGUGGCGAACGGGUGAGUAACACGUGGGUGAUCUGCCCUGCACUUCGGGAUAAGCCUGGGAAACUGGGUCUAAUACCGGAUAGGAGCCAUUUUUAGUGUGAUGGUUGGAAAGUUUUUUCGGUGUAGGAUGAGCUCGCGGCCUAUCAGCUUGUUGGUGGGGUAAUGGCCUACCAAGGCGGCGACGGGUAGCCGGCCUGAGAGGGUGGACGGCCACAUUGGGACUGAGGGACGGCCCAGACUCCUACGGGAGGCAUCAGUGGGGAAUAUUGCACAAUGGGCGCAAGCCUGAUGCAGCGACGCCGCGUGGGGGAUGACGGCCUUCGGGUUGUAAACUCCUUUCGCUAGGGACGAAGCUUUUUGUGACGGUACCUAGAUAAGAAGCACCGGCUAACUACGUG